UACAGAGGGGGCAAGCGUUGUUCGGAAUUACUGGGCGUAAAGGGCGCGUAGGCGGCCUUCUAAGUCGAACGUGAAAUCCCCGGGCUCAACCCGGGAACUGCGUCCGAUACUGGAAGGCUUGAAUCCGGGAGAGGGAUGCGGAAUUCCAGGUGUAGCGGUGAAAUGCGUAGAUAUCUGGAGGAACACCGGUGGCGAAGGCGGCUAUCUGGACCGACAUUGACGCUGAGGCGCGAAAGCGUGGGGAGCAAACAGG
rnacentral:rRNA from 1 species